UCUUAAUGCCUCCUAGCUUAGUUGAAGGCGGAGCUUGGGUUCUGAUUCUCCUUGUCAUUUUGGGAGUGAUGUCUCGAGAGAGACAGGGGACAGAAAGGGCUGUACUCCACCAUCUUGUGACCAGAAGUCUGAGACGUCUCCCUGAGGUGGACUGGAGAGCCGUCUGUGCCCGACACUCCUGCUCCGCUCCUGCUGACAGAGAGGGGAGGAGGUCAUCUGCAGGAGGAGAGGAGAAGUUUUAGAUCCAGCCGCAGGAAAUUCAGGAGGGGACACAGGUUUGAGCCCUGGUUCCGGAAGAUCCCACAUACCGCGCAGCAACAACUACUGAGCCCACGUGCCUGCAACUACGGAAGCCCGUGAGCCAAGCCCGUGCUUUGCAACAAGAGAAGCCGCUGCAAUGAAGAGUAGCCCCCACUCUCCGCAACUAGAGAAAGCCCGCACGCAGCAACAAAGACCUAAUGCAGCCAAUAAAUAAAUUAAAAAAAAAAGAAAAGUAUUUUGCGAAGUGUAGAACACGGAGUAGUAUAAAAUACCACCACACCCUUCUGUGGGUCCAUUGCCAGCUUCAACACCAUUAACUUAAUUUAACAAAGGAAACGAAAGUAGCAGCCAGGAAUGUGGGAGGAAAACCAGGGAAGUAUUGUGUCCAAGAAGCCUGUCAAAGAGAGAGGUCAACGGUGACAAAUAAAAGCAACACGGUCCUGUAGGUUUAUUUUAAUUUUAAUCUUUUUAUUGAAGGAUAAUUGAGUUACAAUAUUGUGUUAGUUUCAGGUGUAUACCAGAGUGAUUCAGUAUUUUUGCAAAUUAGGCUCCAUUAUUGGUUAUUACAAGGCAGUGGGUAUAAUUCCCUGUGCUAUGUGGCAUAUCUUGUUGCUUAUCUGUUUUAUAUAUAAUAGUUUGUGUCUGUUGAUCCCAAACUUCUAAUUUAUACCCCCUCUUCCCUCUCUGCUUUGUAACCGUAAGUUUGUUUGCUAUGCCUGUGAAUCUAUUUCUGUCUUACAUAUACAUUCAUUUGUAUUAUUUUUUAGUUUCCACAUAUAAGUGAUAUCCUACAGUUUUGUCUUUCUCUGUCUGACAUUUCACUAGGCACAAUGUUCUCUAGGUCCAUCCACGUUGCUGCAAAUGGCAAUAUUUUGCCCUUUUUAUGGCUGAGUAGUAUUCCAUUGUAUAAAUAUACCACAUCCUCUUAAUCCAAUCACCUGUUGAUGGGCACUUGGGUUGCUUCCAUG